AGCCUUGACCAUCUUCUGUAGCAAGAAGUAUCCUCUGUUCAAUGCUGCCUUUGGAUUUGCUUUUUGGGAAGCUGUAGGGUAGAUGAUCUACCCUCUUGUCUAAAACUUAGGAAAUUCAGGGCAAUUAAGAAACAUUCAGCUGAUGCCAGGACACUUCCUAAAGGAAUCUGGGCUCUUUCUUUACUCACCA